UUAGGCUAAGAUUUGUGAAGA
rnacentral:miRNA from 1 species